AUUAAAAAGUACCAGUAAAAGGAACCAUUAACUUUUUAUAACUCGUGCCUGUUUAAUACUGAGAGUCGUACCCAUCACGACCUCCAUUUAAUAUAGAGACACAAAAUGUUCUCAUGUCAAGUGUGUCUGUUCUGCUGCUCUGCAACAUGACUCCAUGGAAGAAGAAGCUCUCCCUUUGUCGGCAGCUAGUUCUCUGCUCCCUGAGAGGAGGAGUCAAUGCAAAACUCAGAUGUCUUCUACCUACAAGAGGAGGAAAGAGAGCAGUGGACACACACAGUUAAACAUGAGGCGCUGCAGGACAGGACUGCUGCUUUUAACUCUCUGCUGGGCAGGCGUUUCCAGUCAGACUCUGAGUGAGUCAGAAUCCCAUAAACUGACCUGUACCUAUGCAGGAAUAUCAGAUGAUGAUGCUGCUAUCAGCUGGAUCAGACAAGCUGAAGGAAAAGGACUGGAGUGGAUUGCUUUCAUUUCUUCUCCGAGUGGAAGCAGUAAAUAUUAUUCCACGUCUGUCUUGAAUCGUUUCACCAUUUCCAGAGACAACGCCGUGGACCAGGUGUCUCUGCAGAUGAACAGUCUGACCACUGAAGACUCUGCUGUUUAUUAUUGUGCUCGGAGGCCACAGUGAUACAGGAAGCCACAGAACUGUACAAAAACUCCCCCCACUGUAUCAGUCACUGAUACAAAGUAUUGUGAAUCGCCAUUAAGUAUUUUUAAAAUCCCCCUAUAGUGUUAAUUGUUGGAACCAGGGGGAGAAAAUGGAAGGUUGGACUAAAUAAUCUAGAAGUUUAUUCAAAGUUAAUUGUCAUCAUAGGCAGCAACUAUACUAUCUCACUGAAAAUAAAUAGCUGUUUUAAAGAUAUUUGCAAGUAAAGAAGGUCGGCACCAUUUAAUUUGACGUCCAAAACGCAUCUCCGUUAACACUGAACCCUCAUGUCACCUUUGUUCUCGAUUACAAACAAAAACCCUGCUGAA